AGUGAACGCUGGCGGUAGGCCUAACACAUGCAAGUCGAACGGCAGCACAGUAAGAGCUUGCUCUUACGGGUGGCGAGUGGCGGACGGGUGAGGAAUACAUCGGAAUCUACUUUUUCGUGGGGGAUAACGUAGGGAAACUUACGCUAAUACCGCAUACGACCUACGGGUGAAAGCAGGGGAUCUUCGGACCUUGCGCGAUUGAAUGAGCCGAUGUCGGAUUAGCUAGUUGGCGGGGUAAAGGCCCACCAAGGCGACGAUCCGUAGCUGGUCUGAGAGGAUGAUCAGCCACACUGGAAUUGAUACACGGUCCAGACUCCUACGGGAGGCAGCAGUGGGGAAUAUUGGACAAUGGGCGCAAGCCUGAUCCAGCCAUACCGCGUGGGUGAAGAAGGCCUUCGGGUUGUAAAGCCCUUUUGUUGGGAAAGAAAAGCAGCAGGUUAAUACCCCGCUGUUCUGACGGUACCCAAAGAAUAAGCACCGGCUAACUUCGUG
rnacentral:rRNA from 1 species